CACCUCUCCACUGAGACUUCAUAUCAGACCACUACGCUGAUAUUAGGGUGAUAGGAGUCAAGAGCAGGAAACAGCAACUGUCCUAGAUAUUUUGGAAAGAAGCAUGUGUGCCAGAGGCUGAGAAAUAAAUCUAACAUUCGCGAGCUUGCCGACUUGGUAACAGAUCUAGUGCUGUGCUGUAAUAUCCUUUCCAAGGUGAAGGAGAAGUUGCUACUUCUGACUACACUAACUACAAAAAAAAAAGAUGAACAUAACACCUAGUGAACCUCUUUGAGAUUUGAAAGCCACAUAUCCCCAUUUUUGGAGUACUAGGAAAGAGUGCGAGUUUCAAGUGGGACUUCAAGCAAGAGAAGGCUUUGUCACAGGUCCGAGUUGCUAUGUAAGCUGCUCUUAAACUUGGGCUGUAUGACCCAGCUGGCUCAAUGAUUCUUGAAAUGUCUGUGGCAGAUAGGUAUGUGUAUGGAACUUUUGUAAAGCACCUAUAGCUGAAGCACUAUAUGGACUUAAUAUUGUAGAACCAAGCCAUGCCAUCUUCUGUAGAUAAUUAUCCUACUUUUGAGAAGCAACAUCUAGACUAGUAGACUGAACAUUUGCCCUUGGAUUCCUGUUUCCCUGUAGCCUUAGAUGCCACAGUGAACUGAGCAUUGUGUGAUCCAUCAAGCCAGAAAGCUGUGUGUACAUAAUAGAGUUCUAUCAUAAAGCUGAAGGGGUAUAUUUAAGACUGGGUCUGAACAGUCACUGAAGGCAUUUAAGUAAGUUGCAUGAGAAAAUAACAGAUUCCCAUGGCUCUUAAUCUUGCUACAUUGCCAUGAUGGUUAAUAUUGAGUAUCAACUUGAUGGAAUUGAAGGAUGCAAAGUGUUGUUCCUGGGUGUGCCUGUGAGAUUGUUGCCAAAGGAGAUUAACAUUUGACUCGGUGGAUUGGGAAAGGCAGACCCACCCUCAAUCUUGAGUGGGCAUAAUCUAAUUGGCUGCUAGUGUGGCCAGAAUAAAAGUAGCAGAAGAAUGUGAAAAGACUAGACUGGCUUAGUCUUCCAGCCUACAUCUUUCUCCCGUGCUGGGUGCUUCCUGCCCUCAAACAUUGGACUCCAAGUUCUUCAGUUUGGGGAAUUGAACUAGCUUCCUUCCUCCUCAGCUUGCAGACAGCCUACUGUGGGACCUCACCUCAUGAUCAUACUCCUUCUACAUCUGUUGUUCAAGGUUCAGACUCAAUAUGCAACUAAUUUAUGAAGCCCGUUUAGACCACAACAACCCUGAUGCAAGAUGUUCUCCACUAUGUUAAGAUGCAGCAUGAAGCCCUUACCAGAAGCUAAGAGUAUUCCGUUAGAGCAACACAAAACAGACUAAGACAACUUGUUCAUUACUGAUGUACAGAUUUCACUGACCAGCAACACUCCAGUGAAACUGCAGUCAAAAUUUAUGGAGUCUGCAGUAAAUAUGAAGCUAAAGUAACAGGCAAUGAAGAGCUCACCUGCUGCCUCCAGGGCUGCUUAACAUGCUGCAACCAGGCUGAAUGGUGCAUAUUGGACUGGAACCUGGAUCCUUGAGUAAAUGAAAGGAGAAAAGCCCCUAUCCAGUAUAUCAGAUUUGUGUAAACCAAAAAAUAAACUUUCAAUAUGCACUCUCCAGGAAAAGCUGCCUGCUAGAUAACAUGAAGACACGCCAGCAGCCUCAUGGGGGUGGAGGGAAGAGAGGCCUCAUGGUGAGGGACUGAGGCCUCCUACUAAAAGCCAGCACUAACUUGUCAGGCAUGAAAGUGAGCCACCUGGAAGCACAUCUUCAGCCCCUGUGGACCCUUUAGAUGACUGCAGGCCCUGCUGACAUCUUGACUGAAACCUCAUGAGACAGCUAGAACCAGAAUCGCCCAGAGAGAAGAACAUCAAAGGUGCGGGUUUAGGGCCCAGAAAGCCACUGGCCCCUUAAUAUCCAGAAAAGGACAAAAACUCACGGGAGUCAAGCACUGUUUGCCUGGAAGAAGAAAGAUAAAGACACAGACAAGCCCUGCUCCCCCACCAGCCAAAACUACUAUUCUACCUGUUUCCUGAUUCUGACCCACGUAUAUUCACUUGUUUCAUCAUUUUCUCAUUCAAAAAUAUAUUCAUUCAAUUAAUAAUGAUUUACUGAGUGUGUAUUAUGUAGCCAGUGCUUGCAUGGAACUCAGAUUACAGCUGGAAAUGAAACAGAUCUGGUCUUACACCCUCUGUACAUCUUCUUCCUCCUGUUACCACUCUAUCCUGUCUUCAACCUCAACUUCACUACUAAUUUCAUACUUAA
rnacentral:lncRNA from 1 species